rnacentral:rRNA from 1 species
AAUCUUGCGCAAUGGGCGAAAGCCUGACGCAGCAACGCCGCGUGAGGGACGAAGGCUUUCUGAGUUGUAAACCUCUUUCAGCAGGGACGAUUGUGACGGUACCUGCAGAAGAAGCACCGGCCAACUACGUGCCAGCAGCCGCGGUGAUACGUAGGGUGCAAGCGUUGUCCGGAUUUAUUGGGCGUAAAGAGCUCGUAGGCGGUUCGAUAAGUCGGGUGUGAAAUCUCCAGGCUCAACCUGGAGUCGCCACUCGAUACUGUCGUGACUAGAGUCCGGUAGGGGACCAUGGAAUUCCUGGUGUAGCGGUGAAAUGCGCAGAUAUCAGGAGGAACACCAGUAGCGAAGGCGGUGGUCUGGGCCGGAACUGACGCUGAGGAGCGAAAGCGUGGGGAGCGA